GAAAGUUGAAAGGCGCUUUUGCGUCACUGAUGGAUGGGCCCGCGGUGCAUUAGCUAGUUGGUGAGGUAACGGCUCACCAAGGCCACGAUGCAUAGCCGACCUGAGAGGGUGAUCGGCCACACUGGGACUGAGACACGGCCCAGACUCCUACGGGAGGCAGCAGUAGGGAAUCUUCGGCAAUGCACGAAAGUCUGACCGAGCAACGCCGCGUGAGUGAAGAAGGUUUUCGGAUCGUAAAACUCUGUUGUUAGAGAAGAACAAGGAUGAGAGUAGAACGUUCAUCCCUUGACGGUAUCUAACCAGAAAGCCACGGCUAACUACGUGCCAGCAGCCGCGGUAAUACGUAGGCGGCAAGCGUUGUCCGGAUUUAUUGGGCGUAAAGCGAGCGCAGGCGGUUUCUUAAGUCUGAUGUGAAAGCCCCCGGCUCAACCGGGGAGGGUCAUUGGAAACUGGGAGACUUGAGUGCAGAAGAGGAGAGUGGAAUUCCAUGUGUAGCGGUGAAAUGCGUAGAUAUAUGGAGGAACACCAGUGGCGAAGGCGGCUCUCUGGUCUGUAACUGACGCUGAGGCUCGAAAGCGUGGGGAGCGAACAGGAUUAGAUACCCUGGUAGUCCACGCCGUAAAC
rnacentral:rRNA from 1 species